GCUGUGCGCGGUGGUGGCGUGCACCUCAGCUACUCAGGAAGCUGAGGUGACAUCAUUUGCACCCAGGAGUUCUGGGCUGUAGUGCACCCGCAGUGCCCAUCAGGGGCCCACACAGUGUUCAGCAUCAAUACAGUAACCUCCUGGAAGCAGGGGAUCACCAGGAUGCCUCAGGGAGGGGUGAGCCAGCCAAGGUUGAAAAUAGAACAGGUCAAAACUCCCGUGCAGAUCAGUCAUGGGAUCGUGCCUGUGAACAGCCACUGCACUCCAGCCUGGGCAACAUAGCGCGAUCCCGUCUCUA
ensembl:misc_RNA Metazoa_SRP Metazoan signal recognition particle RNA